GAGCGGUAGCGCGGGGGCAACCCUGGCGGCGAGCGGCGAACGGGUGAGUAACACAUCGGAACGUGUCCAGUAGUGGGGGAUAACCAGUCGAAAGAUUGGCUAAUAUCGUAUACGAUCUACGGAUGAAAGCGGGGGACCGCAAGGCCUCGCGCUGUUGGAGCGGUCGAUGUCGGAUUAGCUUGUUGGCGGGGUAAAAGCUUACCAAGGCGACGAUCCGUAGCUGGUCUGAGAGGACGACCAGUCAUACUGGAACUGAGACACGGUCCAGACUCCUACGGGAGGCAGUAGUGGGGAAUUUUGGACAAUGGGGGAAACCCUGAUCUAGCCAUGCCGCGUGAGUGAAGAAGGCCUUCGGGUUGUAAAGCUCUUUCGGUGGGGACGAAACGGUCCGUGACAACACCACGGACUAAUGAUGGUACCCGCAUAAGAAGCAUCGGCUAACUACGUGCCAGCAGCCGCGGUAAUACGUAGGGUGCAGGCGUUAAUCGGAAUUACUGGGCGUAAAGCGUGCGCAGGCGGCCUCUUAAGUCAGAUGUGAAGUCCCCGGGCUUAACCUGGGAACUGCGUUUGAAACUGGGAGGCUAGAGUGUGGAAGAGGGGGGUGGAAUUCCAGGUGUAG
rnacentral:rRNA from 1 species